rnacentral:rRNA from 1 species
UUGAACGCUGGCGGCAGGCCUAACACAUGCAAGUCGAGCGGUAGCACAGAGAGCUUGCUCUCGGGUGACGAGCGGCGGACGGGUGAGUAAUGUCUGGGAAACUGCCUGAUGGAGGGGGAUAACUACUGGAAACGGUAGCUAAUACCGCAUAAUGUCGCAAGACCAAAGUGGGGGACCUUCGGGCCUCAUGCCAUCAGAUGUGCCCAGAUGGGAUUAGCUAGUAGGUGGGGUAACGGCUCACCUAGGCGACGAUCCCUAGCUGGUCUGAGAGGAUGACCAGCCACACUGGAACUGAGACACGGUCCAGACUCCUACGGGAGGCAGCAGUGGGGAAUAUUGCACAAUGGGCGCAAGCCUGAUGCAGCCAUGCCGCGUGUGUGAAGAAGGCCUUCGGGUUGUAAAGCACUUUCAGCGGGGAGGAAGGCGUUAAGGUUAAUAACCUUGGCGAUUGACGUUACCCGCAGAAGAAGCACCGGCUAACUCCGUGCCAGCAGCCGCGGUAAUACGGAGGGUGCAAGCGUUAAUCGGAAUUACUGGGCGUAAAGCGCACGCAGGCGGUCUGUCAAGUCGGAUGUGAAAUCCCCGGGCUCAACCUGGGAACUGCAUUCGAAACUGGCAGGCUAGAGUCUUGUAGAGGGGGGUAGAAUUCCAGGUGUAGCGGUGAAAUGCGUAGAGAUCUGGAGGAAUACCGGUGGCGAAGGCGGCCCCCUGGACAAAGACUGACGCUCAGGUGCGAAAGCGUGGGGAGCAAACAGGAUUAGAUACCCUGGUAGUCCACGCCGUAAACGAUGUCGAUUUGGAGGUUGUGCCCUUGAGGCGUGGCUUCCGGAGCUAACGCGUUAAAUCGACCGCCUGGGGAGUACGGCCGCAAGGUUAAAACUCAAAUGAAUUGACGGGGGCCCGCACAAGCGGUGGAGCAUGUGGUUUAAUUCGAUGCAACGCGAAGAACCUUACCUGGUCUUGACAUCCACAGAACUUUCCAGAGAUGGAUUGGUGCCUUCGGGAACUGUGAGACAGGUGCUGCAUGGCUGUCGUCAGCUCGUGUUGUGAAAUGUUGGGUUAAGUCCCGCAACGAGCGCAACCCUUAUCCUUUGUUGCCAGCGGUUAGGCCGGGAACUCAAAGGAGACUGCCAGUGAUAAACUGGAGGAAGGUGGGGAUGACGUCAAGUCAUCAUGGCCCUUACGACCAGGGCUACACACGUGCUACAAUGGCAUAUACAAAGAGAAGCGACCUCGCGAGAGCAAGCGGACCUCAUAAAGUAUGUCGUAGUCCGGAUUGGAGUCUGCAACUCGACUCCAUGAAGUCGGAAUCGCUAGUAAUCGUAGAUCAGAAUGCUGCGGUGAAUACGUUCCCGGGCCUUGUACACACCGCCCGUCACACCAUGGGAGUGGGUUGCAAAAGAAGUAGGUAGCUUAACCUUCGGGAGGGCGCUUACCACUUUGUGAUUCAUGACUGGGGUG